rnacentral:rRNA from 1 species
GAUUAACGCUGGCGGCGUGCCUAAUGCAUGCAAGCCGAACGGCCCGAUUUAUCGGGCAGUGGCGAACGGGUGAGUAACACGUAAGAACCAACCCUCAAGUGGGGGAUAACCCCGAGAAAUCGGGGCUAAUACCGCAAAGCUCCCCGAUUAUAUCGGGGAGGAAAGCUGAGGCGCUUGAGGACGGGCUUGCGUCCGAUUAGCUAGUUGGUGUGGUAAUGGCUCACCAAGGCUGAGAUCGGUAGCUGGUCUAAGAGGAUGGUCAGCCACACUGGGACUGAGAUACGGCCCAGACUCCUACGGGAGGCAGCAGCAGGGGAUAUUGCGCAAUGGGUGAAAGCCUGACGCAGCAACGCCGCGUGGGGGAAGAAGGUUUUCGGAUCGUAAACCCCUUUUCUCGGGGAAGAUGGUGACGGUACCCGAGGAAUAAGUCUCGGCUAACUACGUGCCAGCAGCCGCGGUAAGACGUAGGAGGCGAGCGUUAUCCGGAAUUAUUGGGCGUAAAGGGCGUGUAGGCGGCUCUUCAAGUCUUUGGUGAAAUCUCCCGGCUCAACUGGGAGGGUAUCAGAGAAACUGGAGGGCUUGAGGGCAGUAGAGGGGGGUGGAAUUCCCGGUGUAGUGGUGAUAUGCGUAGAUAUCGGGAGGAACACCAGUGGCGAAGGCGGCCCCCUGGGCUGUUCCUGACGCUGAGGCGCGAAAGCGUGGGGAGCAAACAGGAUUAGAUACCCUGGUAGUCCACGCCGCAAACGAUGGACACUAGGUAUGGGGGGUAUCGACCCCCUCCGUGCCGAAGCUUACGCUUUAAGUGUCCCGCCUGGGGAGACGGCCGCAAGGCU